rnacentral:tRNA from 1 species
UUUAGUAACGACGAUUUUUCGGGUCGUAGGUCUUGGUUAGAGUCCGAGCGAGAACUUAUGAUAAAGUUUGUU